GGAUAGUUCAGUGGUAGAAUACGUGCUUUGGGUAAUAUCAACGCUUGUACGUGGUCUUGGGUUCAAUGUAAGUCGCUUCCUGAUAUCUCUU